rnacentral:rRNA from 1 species
GCGACGAUCCCUAGCUGGCCUGAGAGGAUGACCAGCCUCACUGGAACUGAGACACGGGCCAGACUCCUACGGGAGGCAGCAGUGGGGAAUAUUGCACAAUGCUUCGAGCGUGAUGCAGCCAUUCCGUUUGUAUUUAGAAGUGCUUCGGGUUGUAAAGUACUUUCAGCUUGAAGGAAGGGUUGGGGUUAAUAUCCUCAAGGAUUGAC